rnacentral:tRNA from 1 species
GAGGGUAUCGCUUAGUGGUAGAGUGCAUGCUUAGCAUGCAUAAGGUCCUGGGUUCAAUCCCUAGCACCUCCA